UUCCGAGGGUAAUGCAACGGCCGUGGUAUUUGGCACUCUCUUCAUUAUAUGGAAACUGGACACGGGCAAAGCCCAGAGUGCAUCAAACUGAAAUGAAACUCCCAUUUUCCCUUUAUAUGUUGUGAAUAGUGAUAGCAAGUCCCUUCUUUCUUUCUUCUCCCUUAGCCAAAAUUCAUGACCAUAACAGUAUAUAAACAUACAUUUGUUGCUUUUUGUUCAGUGUUAUUCCUAAAAGGAAAAUGCAGCCCGCGAUUUAUGAGAAAGGAUGGAUUAGAUUUUCUCUUUCUUGAGAUGUAAAUGUCAGUCAUGGAAAUUUCACUAAUAGCUUGUUUGGAUUGUGGGUUAUGACACAUUAUGGAGGGUUAAGGAAAGUUUUUAUACAAAUUUGGAUAAAACCAACCCCCCCCCCCCCCCCCCCCCCAUAACCCUAACCCGCAAUCCAAAUGACCACUAGGAGUUGAGAGAUGAGAGUCGAGGAGAGGGAGAUAGAGGACGAUGGGCUUUAAAUACGAAAAAGGGAGAAAUUAAAAGCAGCCCAGCAAAAGUAUGAAUUAGCACUAGCACUAGCACUAGCACUAGCACUAGCACCAGCAGAGGAUUAGAAUUGGAUCGGUUUGAUCUCCCUUACCCGGAGGCGGAGUUUGAGCUAGAGGCAGGGAGAGAGAGGGCCAUUCCUUUUUUCCUCACCAUCAGAUGGAUCGCGGACCAGGAGCAGAUUUCACCUCUAUGGAAGUGGAAGUGGAAGAUAUUCCCUCUUUCAACUACAACGCAACGAACAUGGCCUGAGCUGUGCUAUCCUGAGCUAAGCACGCCUACCACCUCAAGAUAGAUAGAUCCUCGCUCGGUCAAAUUUAGCAUUUUUUUUCCCUUGACAAAUAAAUUCACAAAUUAUCACUUUUUUCACAGGCAUCUUAAAAGUGUGGCUACCACAUCCCUGCAUGAAGGUGCUAUCACCUCGUCGUGAGGUUGGGGCCUUGGAGCAAUCACCACCCCCGGGUGAGGUCUCCAGUCCAUAACCUCUUGAGAUUGUAGGCGAGUGGUGACCACCUCCGAGAUCAAGCCCAAAAGUGAAUUCUAAUUGUGGGAUCAAUCUCGGGGUGAGGGCCUCCCCAGCACAGCCCCACAAUGAGGACUUUCACAACAUCAAUAAGGGCCGAGCGACAUAAUUGGGGAGGCGGUGAUGCAGGUAAGGCUUCCAACCCUGAGGUUCAUCUUGAAAUUGAAAGACAAGACGAGGCCUUCACUUCAGAGAUCAAGCCUAGAAUCCCCCUCCCAAUAUUGAGUGCAGAGUUGGAAUUCAAUUUUAGGCUCCAUCACGGUGGUGGACCUUGCCUUUCAAUUUCAAAGUCAAGCUCGGUGGUGGGUCGUCCCCCUCAACCACCAUAUCCUGGGAUAAGAUUUUAGUCUCCUCUUAAGACUGUUUUUUACCGUUGCCAAGGCCCUCAUGUCCGAGAUUGAUCCCGUUAUUGGAAAUUAAUUUUGGUCUAGGUGGGGCCUCGCCGGUGGCUAACGCCUCUUGCAAUGAGGUUCUUGGUACCUCGAGAGGUGAUAUCAAUCACAUCCAGGGAGGUGGUUGUCAAGCCCGCGGUUGCCACGUCCGAGGUUGAAUUGUAAUUUCUAUCUGAACGCAAUGAAAAGUGAUAAUCCUUGAAUUCAUUUAUUAUUUAGAAGAUCAUGCUAAAUAUGAAAACAUGGACAAACUUUAUGAUUAUUUGCAUCCUUUGCUAUUUUCUUUUAA